AAUUUUCAGGGGACACAAGGGUGUUGUUGUUCUACACACUUCGUUCACAUGUCCAAGCUCAAAAAAUAAAGCAGGACGCCAGGAUAGGAUAAGGUUCAACAACACGCAUCACAUCGGCCCAUAUGCCAUUCCAUUUCGUGCUCUUGGCCAGCGACAUACUAAAUGGGUAAUGGCGCAAGAACCACGAAUUUCCAGUGCCGUUGGCUUGCUAUGCUGGCUCCGUCGAUGUACGCCACAAGCCACCAUGCCAGAAGUGGAUCGGGAUGUUCGGAUUGGCAUUUAUUAUUACCCCGUUGCCUGAAAGGCUGAAACGACGUCACGAGGGACAAGCGCAAAAUAUAAGCUCUGUUGGAAGGAAUUGACGUUAGUUGCGAAUUAAGAACCAGACAAUGUUUGAAGUUUUAUACAGCUAACCACCAUUUUCAUAACACCGACGCUACGGAUAGCUUUUCAGCGCGUUAAAUCGGACGAAAAGAGGGUGGUGACCUUAGUCCUCAAAGCCCAUGUCUUGAGGACAUUCUAACCGAAGGUCAGUCAUCGAAUGAGACAAUGAAGAUAUCCAUUUUGAAGGUGGGUAUUAGCGAAGAUAUGAAUGUGGUUUUCUUUUUACAAACGGUCAUUUCCCUUGCGCAAUCGGGAGGUUAAUAGGUGGUUUUACGAACAUCAUAACUAAACUUUAGGCAUCCUUUCGGACCUGCGAGCCCUAUUAGAUUUCUACGAUGUUGAACUAUAAAUACAACUUGAUUUACUAGUGUGGGAAUGAACGGAGAUAUUACCCGCAAGUUCCACAACGCUCGACAUCACGAAAAUGGACGGGGAAUACGGGGGAAAUAUGUCACUACUCCGUACGCAGAAAGCUAUUGCACUGACAAUUUUCUAACGGGAAAGAACCUAUAGUACAAGACACGAAAAAGCCGGCACAAAUUCUGCUGACAAUUGCCCUAUACCAUAUUAUGACAUGAAGAUUCCUUUUGGUGUGUCAACAGGGAUUACGUUCCCCCACUUCAAUGGCUUUUUGUUCGGGGUCACUAAGUACGGCCAGGGUGUAGACAUUGGGGAGGCCCCCCUGGGCAUUAAGGGUUCCAUCCCCGGAAAAAUAGUGGACAGAACUUAGAAGCUCCAGUUAUCAGUAAAAGCCAAGGGGGUUGAGCUCCCGGAUCGACCCUAGGAAUCUAGUACGUGGCCCUCCCCUUCGCUUCUUCCCACACACCCCCCCUGUGAUCCGCAACAUGGAAACGCCAUUUUUGGCGCUCCGAAACGGCGAAACCUGGAGCUUCAUUCGGCACGGCUAGAGCGGCGCAAAAGGUUACGAUGUCAUAAGUACCAGUCCAUCUAAAUUCCUGAAACGAUGAGUUUCGUCUUGCAAAAAGUUGUCUCCUUGUUUGAGACAAAUCCAAGCACCCGCGAAAUCCGGGAUUAUUUUCUCAAAAAUUAGUUUGUC
rnacentral:sRNA from 1 species